rnacentral:lncRNA from 1 species
CGAAGCAAAGCAACAAUAAAGAAGCAAAGCAUUUUUUUGGCUUUUCUAGUUUUCUUGGUUUGUUUCAAGAAAUAAGGUUUUACUUGAGUAAGUGAGUGGUUUGGUUUUGUACUCUAAUUUGUGAGUAAAAUCAACAAGGGUGUAUUUGGGAUUUUAUUGGGAAGUGAGGUUGAGAGUUAAAGAGUGUUCCUCUUGUAUUCCACUUGUUAACUUGUUAGUGAAAAGUGUGAUCUCCCUCCGGUGGACGUAGGCAAAUUGCCGAACCACGCUAAAUUUCUUGUGUUGUUAUUUUCUUUGUUUAUCUUUGCUUUUAUUUUUUAAGUUAUUAACUUUUUAAAUACAUAUCUUACCAUUUGUGUAAUGACACGUCGUGUAUCACACCAUAUAUUGGUCACACUGAAAAAUCUCUCACAAUGAUGAGGCAAGCACACUUCAAUUUUUAGUAUUGUAUUAAGUGGGAAAAUUAGGCCAUAAGUUAGGCCACAAAUAAUGGUGCUUGGCUGGGAAAAAAUUGUGAUGGUGAUUCAUUCUUAAAACCUAUAAAUAUGCUCCUCCACCGUAGUACCUAAUAUCCCAAAAUCAUAUUCGAAGCAAAGCCAUAAUAAAGAAGCAAAGCAUUUUUUUGGCUUCUCUAGGUUUCUUGGUUUGUUUCAAGAAAUAAGGUUUUACUUGACUAAGUGAGUGGUUUGGUUUUGUACUCUAAUUUGUGAGCAAAACCAACAAGGGUGUAUUUGGGAUUUUAUUGGGAAGUGAGGUUGAGAGUUAAAAAGUGUUCCUCUUGUAUUCCACUUGUUACCUUGUUAGUAGAAAGUGAGAUCUCCCUCCUGUGUACGUUGAUAGAGAUUUUACUACACAUAUGAACGGGCUAAAAACUUCUAUAAUACUUGCAAGAAUUACAAGGUUAUUGUAGUAUAAACGGAUCUCGCAAUGUCGUUCUCCACAUGGAUUAUUAAAUAAUUCGAAACAAACCAAAUUCCAAUUAACUAUUGCAAAGUAUAAAUUGAGAUGAUUGAUUUUAUAACCUACUUAAAUUAAAAACGAAUUUAAUUAAUAAAAGUAAACUAAUCUGCAAUAUUAAAGAUGAAAGAGAAGGACACAGUCUUGGAGAAAUCAAAUUAAGAAAGCACUAGGGUUCCACCAUCACAUAGCAAUCCUAUGAACUUUUACCAAUUACUUAUGAUCUACACAUGAUACUUUGAAGGUUAGGUUUUCUUAAUUUAUAUUCUACUUGGAACCUCAAACAUAGAACGUAUAUCUAACAUACAACCUAUCUGGACGUUCGUAUCAAAUCUGAACAUCAAAGACUCAUUAUGCUUUGUGAUUUUAUCUUUGCUUUUAUUUUUUAAGUUAUUAACUUUUUAAAUACAUAUUUCACCAUUUAUAUAAUGAUACGUCAUGUAUCACUCCAUAUACUGGUCACACUGAAAAAUCUCUCGCAAUGACGAGGCAAGCACACUUCAAUUUUUAAUAUUGUAUUAAGUGGGAAAAUUAGGCCAUAAGUUAGGCCACAAAUAAUGGUGCUUGGCUGGGAAAAAAAUUGUGGUGGUGUUUCCUCCUUAAAGCCUAUAAAUAGGCUCAUCCAUCAAAGUACCUAAUAUCCCAAAAUCAUAUUCGAAGCAAAGCAACAAUAAAGAAGCAAAGCAUUUUUUUGGCUUUUCUAGUUUUCUUGGUUUGUUUCAAGAAAUAAGGUUUUACUUGAGUAAGUGAGUGGUUUGGUUUUGUACUCUAAUUUGUGAGUAAAAUCAACAAGGGUGUAUUUGGGAUUUUAUUGGGAAGUGAGGUUGAGAGUUAAAGAGUGUUCCUCUUGUAUUCCACUUGUUACCUUGUUAGUGAAAAGUGAGAUCUCCCUCCCCUGUGGAUGUAGGCAAAUUGCCGAACCACGCUAAAUUUCUUGUGUUGUUAUUUUCUUUGUUUAUCUUUGCUUUUAUUUUUUAAGUUAUUAACUUUUUAAAUACAUAUCUCACAAUUUGUAUAAUGACACGUCGUGUAUCACACCAUAUAUUGGUCACACUGAAAAAUCUCUCACAAUGAUGAGGCAAGCACACUUCAAUUUUUAAUAUUGUAUUAAGUGGGAAAAUUAGGCCAUAAGUUAGGCCACAAAUAAUGGUGCUUGGUUGAGAAAAAAUUGUAGUGGUGAUUCAUUCUUAAAGCCUAUAAAUAUGCUCCUCCAUCAUAGUACCUAAUAUCCCAUAAUCAUAUUCAAAGCAAAGCAAUAAUAAAGAAGCAAAGCAUUUUUUUGGCUUCUCUAGUUUUUUUGGUUUGUUUCAAGAAAUAAGGUUUUACUUGAGUAAGUGAGGGUUUGGUUUUGUACUCUAAUUUGUGAGCAAAACCAACAAGGGUGUAUUUGGGAUUUUAAUGGGAAGUGAGGUUGAGAGUUAAAAAGUGUUCCUCUUGUAUUCCACUUGUUACCUUGUUAGUAGAAAGUGAGAUCUCCCUCCCGUGUACAUUGAUAGGGAUUUUACUACACAUAUGAACGAGCUAAAAACUUAUAUAAUAC